AUGGCUCAGGAUGAACGCUAGCGGCAGGCGUAACACAUGCGAAGCGCGGGGCGAGGCGCGGGUAGCGAAUACCGUGGCGGCGACCGGCGGAAGGGUGCGUAACGCGUGAGCAACAUGCCCGUCUCAGGGGGAUAACCGAUGGAAACGUCGCCUAAUACCCCGUAACAACAGUGAUCGCAUGGUCAUUGUUUGAAAGCUCCGGCGGAGACGGAUUGGCUCGCGUGACAUUAGCUGGUUGGCGGGGUAACGGCCCACCAAGGCGACGAUGUCUAGGGGUUCUGAGAGGAAGGUCCCCCACACUGGAACUGAGACACGGUCCAGACUCCUACGGGAGGCAGCAGUGAGGAAUAUUGGUCAAUGGGCGGAAGCCUGAACCAGCCAUGCCGCGUGCAGGAAUGAGGCCCUAUGGGGUCGUAAACUGCUUUUGCUGCGGAGCAAUAAGUGCUACGUGUAGUGCGAUGAGAGUACGCAGCGAAUAAGCAUCGGCUAACUCCGUGCCAGCAGCUGC
rnacentral:rRNA from 1 species